AGCAUAUCGAUGAGCGGAGGAAAAGAAACCAACAGGGAUUGCCCCAGUAACGGCGAAGUGAAGCGGCAAGAGCUCAAAUUUGAAAGCUGGCUCCUUCGGGGUCCGCAUUGUAAUUUGCAGAGGAUGUUUCGGGAGCGGCUCCCAUCUAAGUGCCCUGGAACGGGCCGUCAUAGAGGGUGAGAAUCCCGUAUGGGAUGGGGUGUCCGCGCCCGUGUGAAACUCCUUCGACGAGUCGAGUUGUUUGGGAAUGCAGCUCUAAAUGGGUGGUAAAUUUCAUCUAAAGCUAAAUAUUGGCCGGAGACCGAUAGCGCACAAGUAGAGUGAUCGAAAGAUGAAAAGCACUUUGAAAAGAGAGUUAAAAAGCACGUGAAAUUGUUGAAAGGGAAGCGUUUGCGACCAGACUCGCCGACGGGGUUCAGCCUGCCUUCGGGCAGGUGUACUUCCCCGCCGGCGGGCCAGCGUCGGUUUGGGCGGCCGGUCAAAGGCCCUGGGAAUGUAACGCCUCUCGGGGCGUCUUAUAGCCCAGGGUGUCAUGCGGCCUGCCCGGACCGAGGAACGCGCUUCGGCUCGGACGCUGGCAUAAUGGUCGUAAACGACCCGUCUUGAAACACGGACCAAGGAGUCUAACAUCUAUGCGAGUGUUCGGGUGUCAAACCCGUGCGCGAAGUGAAAGCGAACGGAGGUGGGAACCCUUUGGGUGCACCAUCGACCGAUCCUGAUGUCUUCGGAUGGAUUUGAGUAAGAGCAUAGCUGUUGGGACCCGAAAGAUGGUGAACUAUGCCUGAAUAGGGCGAAGCCAGAGGAAACUCUGGUGGAGGCUCGCAGCGGUUCUGACGUGCAAAUCGAUCGUCAAAUUUGGGUAUAGGGGCGAAAGACUAAUCGAACCAUCUAGUAGCU
rnacentral:rRNA from 1 species